UUCCUAGUAGUAACUAGUAACCAGUUCCUGCCUCCUGCUCGAGGCUGAGGCCUGCUAAGAAAUACAUGGUUCAAAUCCUAGCCAAAAACAAAAGUCACUAACCUUUCACACCAUCGAACAUGGAGACCUGAUCAUCCAUGGAGAGUGGCAAGUGGGUGAGAGUAAGGCAGCUGACCAUGGAAGAAGUCAAGAGAAGUAGCCAGGUGAGGAUUAACCACAUCGAAAAGAAGAAACUUUUCAGUAGUCAAGACCUGCAAGGAGAAAGCGUGCUUGUUGAGGGAGAGAGUGAAGCUAAACAUCACCGGAAUUAAGGUGAGGUUUAUUUUCACAUGCACAUCUAUAGAAACUUUUUCCUUCUCCACUAAGAGCACGAUACACCUACCAUGAAGAUAGAUAUUUUGACUGUACUAGUAGAGCAUAGCUAACAAAUACUAGGUGAUAUGUUUUGGCCAAGGAAAAUUGUGUGCUAGCUGUAAUCAGAACAUGAACUAGUAUUCUCCUUUUUUUUGUGUGCAAAUAUACACAUAAAUAGUUGAAUCAGGGCUAAAACAUUUACAAAAGAAACUUUCACAUCUACAUGUAAACUGACUAGAUGAACUGAGUUUGAGGAUGCAAGAGUAGGAGCACUCACUGUCAGGUUGUGGAGGUUGUCGCCGGACUUUGGAGUCAUGGUGCUGCACACACGGGUCUUCUUGGCCCUGUCCUGGGCAUCACGGCCGCCAAGCACGGCACCGUGAUGGAGCAGGUCGCCGCCGGCCGCCACCCCCCAACCUGCACACAUUAGAGAGGAAAAAUCGAAGGGGAGAAAUAGAUAGAUAGCAACUACAACUUUUGGGGACUUGAUUUGGGGUACAAAUCGCUGAAAUACUCCAGCCAUGGGGGUGGAUUUGGUACAGCCACCUUGGGCGCCAUGGCUGCAGAAGAGGGAAAAAGGAAGCAGAGCUAGCAGAGAGAGGAGAUGGAGAGUGGGCAGUGCGUGUGUUGCUCUGUUGACUUGCAAGUGCAUUGGGUGUCUACAUGUACUAGUACUACUACACUAAGUAGUAUGAAGUAGGGUACCUUUCUCUUUUUUUUCAUUGGAUGAGCUCACAUGUUAUUAGCAGGGAAAGGCGAGGUUAGGAGUUAUUAGUUUAUCCAGUGACUGACUAAUUUUUAAAUAUGUCUAUAUAUAUUUCCUAUAAAUCAUGCCAUGAUUAAGAUUAAGGACUAAUGAUUUAUGAGCAAUCUUUGACAAUAAGAGAUACUAGCUCGGACACAGCUACCAUGUAGAUUAUUAUAUAUACAUAUGAUUAUUGUUGUCUUAUUUUGCUAAGUACCUAUAUAUAAAUAUUACGAUGACAGGAGGCAAACUAAAAUAGUGGGAGGACGUCCGAAGAAUACAAACGUAUCGAUCAACAUUUUCUGAUACAGGCAAGUCAUGUAGAUGAUACAUUGAUUUUUUUAUAAAGACGAACCUAUUUUCAAAAUGCUUGCAUGAAAAUAUAUUUUCUAAAUUAAACUGAACAUGAUGAGGAUAAUGAUUAUUGGAUGAUAAAUGAAGAUUCGGUAUACAGAGAGCUUAUGGAAUGUGAUGAUGAAUUAGGGUCGGUCAAGCUCUCUCUAUAUCGACUAUGAAUACAUAAGGACUCACCCUUCUCACUCAUUAUGUGGGCCGUAUGAAAUCGUGUCGGCAAGUGAACUCGUUUGUGACGGGCCGAGUCUGGUACCCAUGAAUGUUGUUAUAUACUCCCUAUGGUAAGUGAGGAGAGGGUUGGGUGAUGAAAUCCCCAAUCAGGUGUCGAUGAAGUACACUCAGGCGUAUAUAUUAGCGCACGUGGAUAGAUGUGGAUGUAUAUAAUAUACGGUAGUGGGGAAAGUCACGGUAUCUUGACCAUGAGUCAUACCUAAGGAAGUGUGAUGGAAAAUUGGUCAAGGUAAUCAUGGGUAAAGCGAUACAAACCUGCACAGGGUUAAACCGUGAAUUCACGUUAUGUCUCUUGGAUCGGAGGCUACGGGAGCCUACAGGAGGCUCUGUCUCACUUAUGGGUGAUAAUAGAUUUCUUAAUUUAUUUUCUAAAAUAUGCAAUUUUUUGGUAAAUGAUCUAUGAAUGAGAAUAGAUAUGACAAAAAGAUAGGAAUGCAUUUCAUUUGAUUUAUUAUAUGCUUGCUGAGUGUUUUGUACUCACUCUUGCUAUUAACCCUCCCCCUUCAGAUGAAAAGGGACAACCUAUGAUGAAGAGAUAGGCCAAGCACUUGAUCUAAAGACAGCCACAGGAAAAAUACAUGAUAGAAAUAAAUUUCAAUUAUGAUGUAAAGAUGUUGCUAUUAUAAUUGUUUUGGGUAAUGUUUAUUAACUGUAUUUAUUUUUACUGUAAUAAAUUUUAUAAGAUCUUAACUAUCGUUCUGUUGCAUCACUUUGAUUAGAGUCAUUAUUCG
rnacentral:lncRNA from 1 species